CAGGUGAUUACAUGGCUUGUUUUCCCACAGAAAUUACAGUUUUGUUGUUAAGGGGCAAUACCCGAAUUCUUGGAGGAUCAUUGUUUCCAUUUCAUUUCGUUCAAAAGAAAUUUGUUUCCAUUUCAUCAUCUGGUAGACUGGUAUGUUCAUAGUGUUAGUUAGCAUGAAAGGUUCGGAUCAUGUGAUCACGACCUGACAGCUUGCAUGCAUGUAGUUGUUGAGGUUAGUUUGGAUUAGGUUAGUCUAUCCAUGCGGAUCAGGUUAGCCUUUCCUCCACAUGCGAUAACAGAUGUUUGUUAGAGUUUGUUUUCUGUUUUCUGUUACUGCAUGCAGUCGUUUCAUCAAUCUCGGCUUCGGUUGUUCUCAGCUGCGCCGAACUCUGUAUCGCCACGAUGGGGGCUGUUCCCAUCACAUAUAUAUUAACACGAAGGCGACGCACAGGAUUAGUGCGAUCGUUUCCACCCAAACUAAUUCACAUGGUAUCAGAGCGUUGAUCAAUUCCCUAAUAGAUCAAUACUCAUGGCCUCGUCGUCCAGUACGGCUGCCACAAAUCCGUUCCAAGGCCACCCAAUCUCAGAGAAGCUUGGGAAGGCAAAUCAUGCGCUCUGGAGAAAAUUGACAUUUAGCCAUUGUCAAAACGGGGUUUCGCUGGAAUGCCACUCCCAAAAAUGGUUUCGUUAAAAUGCCACCCUCAAACAGGGGCAACUUGUUGCAAUGCCAUUCCAUCCAUUUCUUCUCAGUUUAAUGUUUUUUGUAAUGUUUUUCUUGUUGAGAUGACCAAAAUACCCUUAUCCUAUCUCAUCUCUCCUCUCUGUCUUCCUCCUCUCCGUUCGGCUCGGCGGCGCAGCUAGAGACGGAGACGGCGGCAGCGUGGCCGGAGACGGGGAAGGCGGCAGCGCGCUUGGGGAUGGGGAAGGCGGCGGUGCGGACGGGGACGGUGGCGACGCGGAUGGGGACGGGAAGGCGGCGACAUGGCUGGGGAUGGGGACGGCGGCGACUGGGACGGGGACGGGGACGGCGGCGGCGCCGACAUGGCUGGGGCAGGUGGGAUGUUCUUUUACGCCGAUGCAGAUGGCGCCGCUGAGCCGAGCAGCCUUCCCCAACCCACGUCGGCGCCGUCCCCGUCGCCAGCCGCACCGGCACCGCCCACCUCAUCGCCGACCCCAUCUCCAUCCUCCUCGACGACCUCCUCCUCGAGUGCCUCGCCGGCGUCCCCUAUGCCUCCCUCCCGCAACUCCCCACCACUUCACCACGCUUGUCGCCUCCGUCGCGCGCACGGCGAGCUCCGCUCCUCUCUCCUCGCCCUCUCCGUCACGCCCACGGCGAGCCGACGGAUGUUGGCGUGGUGGUGGUGAUGAGGACGAGGAGCCGGCGGCCACCGACUCGCAGCUACGCCCCGUCGCCGCCGCUACGCUCCACCGCCGGCGACUGGAUGGGGAUCCCCUUUCUUCUUUCCCCUGCAAAGUCAACAAAAUGACUAGGGGCAAAUAUGCCAGAGAAUGAUGGAAAACAUUUGGAAAUCAGUUAAAAUGGUUGAAAUGGCAUUAUAGUAAGUUGGCUUCAUUUGACAAUGGUAUUAUAACGAAGCCAUAUUCGGAAGUGGCAUUCCAGCGAAACCCCAUCCUGAAGAUGGCUAAAUGUCAAUUUUCUCUGCGCUCUGGAAGGUGCAAGUAAGCGCCGCAGUCAGAGGAGCGCGGCUUCAGGGGCAUCUCACCGGCGCAACCAAGCGGCCGCCGGCAGAGAUCGCUGUCACAAAAGAUGGCGCCACCAAGAAGGAGCCGAACCCAGCCCAUGAAGACUGGGAAGCCACCGACCAGCAAGUUCUGGGGUACCUUCUCUCGUCGCUGACAAGAGAGGUGCUGAUGCAGGUCGCUACAGGCGACACCGCGGCUGAAGUGUGGAGCGCCAUCGAGCAGAUGUACUCCGCCCACACACGAGCAAGAGCGAUUAACACUCGGUUUGCUCUCACCAAUACAAAGAAAGGUAACAUGUCAACUCCUGAGUAUUUUGCAAAAAUGAAAUCCUUAGGAGAUGAGAUGGCUACUGCCGGAGGUCGCCCGAUCGAUGAAGAGGAGCUGAUUCAGUAUAUCAUCACCGGCCUUGGCGAGGGCUACAGCGAGGUGGUGUCGGCUGUCUGCGCUCGGGUUGAACCAAUCUCUGUGAGUGAUCUGUACUCUCAAGUGUUGAACUUUGAAGCUCGCCAAGCCAUCUACCGCGGCGCACAGGAGGUCACCGUCAAUGUUGCCAACCGUGGAGGCUUCAGCCACGGGGGGCGUGGCAACAGCAAUGGUGGCCAAGGAGGUUCGCGCGGCGGCGGCGACGGCGGCGGCCAUGGUCGCGGCAACGGAGGAGGUGGCCGUGGUCGAGGCCGCACACCAGGAGGCGUUGAUAAAAGACCAAUCUGCCAAGUGUGUUUCAAACGGGGGCACACGGCAGCAGAUUGUUGGUAUAGGUACGACGAGGAUUACGUUCCUGACGCCAAGCAUGUUGCAGCUGCAGCGGUUAACUCCUAUGGAGUUGACACAAAUUGGUACAUCGACACUGGUGCUACAGAUCAUGUCACGGGAGAGCUGGACAAGCUCACUAUGAAGGAAAAAUACAACGGUGGUGAACAAAUCCACACAGCAAGUGGUGCAGGUAUGGAUAUUAGUCAUAUUGGUCAUGCUAUUGUUCAUAAUCCCAAUAGUCGUAAUAUCCACCUUAGAAAUGUUUUAUAUGUGCCUCAAGCUAAGAAAAAUCUUGUUUCAGUACAUCGCUUAGUUAAUGAUAACUCUGCCUUUCUUGAAUUACAUCGUGAUUAUUUCUUUCUUAAGGAUCAAAUCACCAGGAAAACUCUCCUUAAGGGAAGAUCAUGGCGCAGGCUAUAUCCUCUACCACACUCCUCCUUGAAGCAAGCCUACAGUGCCAUCAAACUAUCUUUGGACCGGUGGCAUCAUCGUCUUGGUCAUCCUUCCAUUACCACGGUUAAACAAGUAGUCAAUAAGUUUAGCCUCCCCUGUUCAGAUUUGUCUAGUGAGUCAGUUUGUAAUGCUUGUCAACAAGCAAAGAGUCAUCAAUUACCUUUUCCUAUUUCUUCCAGUGUUUCCAAACACCCCUUAGAACUUGUCUUUUCUGAUGUUUGGGGACCUGCUCCAGAGUCUGUUGGGAGAAAAAAAUAUUAUGUUAGUUUUAUUGAUGAUUUUAGUAAAUUUACUUGGAUUUAUCUCAUACAGCAUAAGUCUCAAGUGUUUGACAAGUUUCAGGAGUUUCAAGUCAUGGUAGAACGUCAAUUUGAUAGAAAAAUUCUAGCCAUGCAAACUGACUGGGGAGGCGAAUAUCAAUCCCUUAACUCUUUUUUUUCUAAGAUUGGCAUUGUUCAUCAUGUUUCCUGUCCUCAUACUCACCAACAGAAUGGGUCGGCUGAGAGAAAACAUCGUCAUAUAGUUGAGAUCGGUUUAUCUCUCCUAUCUCAUGCAUCCAUGCCAUUAAAGUUUUGGGAUGAAGCCUUUCAGGCGGCAACUUAUCUUAUUAACCGUGUGCCUAGCAGAGUUAUCCAUAAUAUUAGUCCCCUUGAAAAACUGUUCAAACAAAAACCCGAUUACUCCUCCUUGAGAAUUUUUGGUUGUGCCUGUUGGCCUAAUCUUCGCCCCUACAAUAACCACAAAUUACAAUUUCGCUCUAAGCGUUGUGUUUUUCUUGGGUUUAGCACUAUGCAUAAAGGGUUCAAGUGUCUUGAGGUCUCUACAGGACGCAUCUAUAUUUCUCGCGAUGUUGUCUUUGAUGAGAAUAUUUGUCCCUUCACUGAACUUCAUGCCAAUGCUGGUGCCCGUCUUCGUUCUGAGAUUGAUAUUCUCACUCCUGAACUGCUAGGACCCAUACGGUCUGUUGGGAAUGAACAAUGCAUGCAUCCAGUGACUAAUCCAUUAUCUGCUGAUGUUUCUGCUGCUUUAUCUAAUCGUGCUAAUGAGCCACAUAGAGAUGGUGCAGUACAUCCCGCUGAUGCAGAAGAUCCGCCGGCGACGCCUCCUCUGGAUGCCAGUUCUGGUCCAGAACCAGACCGUGUCGUCCACCACUCCCCUGCGGCCACGUCAUCAGGCCGUCAUCCGGGUCCCACACCUGGUUCUGUGCCACGGGGGGCAGCAUCAUCGCUAGCAGAGGAGACAGCAGAAGACUCAGUGUCGCAGGCGGUGCAGGAGCAGGAGUCGCAGGUGGUGCAGGAGCAGGAGCAGUCCUCACCAGCGCAGGAACAUGCACAGGCUGUCACAGAUGAGACUAAUACAUUACAGCAUGCAGAUGUGACUGACACAGGUUCAGAGGCACCGGCAGGACCGCGCACCAGGUUGCAAAGUGGAGUUCACAAAGAAAAGGUAUAUACUGAUGGUACUAUUAAAUAUAAGCAUUCUUGGUUUACUGCUUCAGGUGAACCUACAAAUGAUUUAGAAGCCUUAAAGGAUAAAAAUUGGAAACUAGCAAUGGAUUCAGCGUAUGAUGCUUUAGUUAAGAAUAAAACUUGGCAUCUUGUUCCUCCUCAGAGAGGGAGAAAUAUUAUUGGCUGUAAGUGGGUGUAUAAAAUUAAAAGGAAAGCUGAUGGUACCCUAGAUAGGUAUAAGGCAAGGUUAGUAGCAAAAGGAUUUAAACAGAGGUAUGGUAUUGAUUAUGAAGAUACCUUUAGCCCUGUUGUUAAAGCUGCCACUAUCAGAAUAAUAUUGUCUUUAGCAGUGUCUAAAGGUUGGAGUCUUAGACAGCUAGAUGUUCAAAAUGCCUUUCUGCAUGGGUACCUAGAAGAAGUUUAUAUGCUACAGCCACCAGGUUUUGAGGAUCCUACUAAGCCACAUCAUGUGUGUAAACUUGAUAAAGCUCUGUAUGAGUUAAAACAGGCACCUAGAGCCUGGUUCUCUAGACUAAGUAAAAAGUUGAUGGACCUUGGUUUUAAAGGAUCAAAAGCUGAUACGUCUCUGUUCUUUCUGAAUAAAGGUGAUAUAACUAUGUUUGUUCUGGUAUAUGUUGAUGAUAUCAUUGUAGCCGGCUCUUCAGAGAGGGCCACUGCAGCUUUACUUCAGGAUCUAAAAGGGGAAUUUGCACUCAAAGAUCUUGGUGAGCUGCAUUAUUUUCUCGGAAUAGAGGUAAGCAAGGUUCAGAAUGGCAUUGUACUGAAUCAAGACAAGUAUGCCAAUGAUUUAUUGAAGAAAGUGGGCAUGAUAGAUUGUAAACCUGCUAAUACACCUCUUUCAGUAAGUGAGAAACUCUCUCUUCAUGAAGGCUCAUUGUUAGGGCCUGAAGAUGCAAGUCACUAUCGCAGUGUUGUUGGUGCUUUGCAAUAUUUGACUCUUACUAGACCUGACAUAGCUUUCUCUGUUAAUAAAGUUUGCCAAUUCUUGCAUGCUCCCACAACUGUACAUUGGAUUGCUGUGAAAAGGAUUCUUAGGUACUUAAAGCAAUGCACUCGGUUAGGACUUGAAAUUCAUAAGUCAGGAUCUACUUUAGUUAGUGGCUUCUCUGAUGCAGACUGGGCAGGCUGUUUAGAUGACAGAAGAUCAACAGGAGGAUUUGCAAUAUUUCUGGGUUCAAAUCUGGUCUCCUGGAAUGCUAGAAAACAAGCCACUGUGUCUAGAUCUAGCACAGAGUCAGAAUACAAAGCUAUUGCCAAUGCCACUGCAGAAAUAAUGUGGGUGCAGACUUUACUUGCAGAGUUAGAGAUUAAAAGUCCAAAAGCUGCUAAAAUAUGGUGUGAUAAUCUUGGAGCUAAGUAUUUGUCAGCUAAUCCAGUGUUUCAUGCCAGAACGAAACACAUAGAAGUUGACUAUCACUUUGUCAGAGAACGGGUAAGUCAGAAACUUCUAGAAAUUGAUUUUGUUUCCACUAAUGAUCAAGUUGCAGAUGGAUUCACUAAACCUCUGUCAGUAAGACUCCUGGAGAAUUUCAAAAGCAAUCUGAACCUGGUUAGGUCCGGAUUGAGAGAGGGUGUUAGUUAGCAUGAAAGGUUCGGAUCAUGUGAUCACGACCUGACAGCUUGCAUGCAUGUAGUUGUUGAGGUUAGUUUGGAUUAGGUUAGUCUAUCCAUGCGGAUCAGGUUAGCCUUUCCUCCACAUGCGAUAACAGAUGUUUGUUAGAGUUUGUUUUCUGUUUUCUGUUACUGCAUGCAGUCGUUUCAUCAAUCUCGGCUUCGGUUGUUCUCAGCUGCGCCGAACUCUGUAUCGCCACGAUGGGGGCUGUUCCCAUCACAUAUAUAUUAACACGAAGGCGACGCACAGGAUUAGUGCGAUCGUUUCCACCCAAA
rnacentral:lncRNA from 1 species